AACAAAGUGAGCAGCGUGGGCACUAAGCUAAGUGGGUCGCCUCCCUUGUGCACGGCUCUCCCACAUUGAAUAGCUGGAGGACAAUGACAGACUGGCUGUUAGGAGCAAGCACUUGCUGGGAGGAAUAAACACCACCUUCUGGCUCUGUGCCACACAAGUGGCCAAAGGAGAACUUCCAGCAUUUUGGAUGUUACAGCUCAGAGCAGUGCCAUAUGAGAUGAACCCACACGAGC